rnacentral:ncRNA from 17 species
GAAAUCGAUGGGGAUGGAGUUCCCCGAUACCCGCCGCAAGGCUGAUGACUCCUACCGGGCG